rnacentral:rRNA from 1 species
GACAGAGGGUGCAAACGUUGCUCGGAAUUACUGGGCGUAAAGCGCGUGUAGGCGGGCCAACAAGUCAGAUGUGAAAUCCCUGAGCUCAACUCAGGAACUGCAUUUGAAACUGUUGGCCUUGAGUGGUGGAGAGGGAAGCGGAAUUCCAGGUGUAGCGGUGAAAUGCGUAGAUAUCUGGAGGAACACCGGUGGCGAAGGCGGCAUCCUGGACCGGCAUUGACGCUGAGGCGCGAAAGCCAGGGGAGCAAACGGG